CCGCAUCUGUGCAUGCAGCAUAUCAAUAAGCGGAGGAAAAGAAACUAACAAGGAUUCCCUCAGUAACGGCGAGUGAAGCGGGAAGAGCUCAAAUUUGAAAUCUUGAAAGGUCACCUUUCACGAAUUGUAGUUUAAAGAAGUGUUUUCUGUUACGAUCGUAAUAUAAGUUCUUUGGAAUAGGACAUCACAGAGGGUGAGAAUCCCGUCUAUGAUUGCGAUUUGUAGCUUUGUGAUACACUUUCAAAGAGUCGGGUUGUUUGGGAAUGCAGCCCAAAACGGGAGGUAAAUUUCUUCUAAGGCUAAAUAUUGGCGAGAGACCGAUAGCGAACAAGUACCGUGAGGGAAAGAUGAAAAGAACUUUGAAAAGAGAGUUAAAUAGUACGUGAAAUUGUCAAAAGGGAAGCGUUUGACACCAGUGUUGUUUUCUCCGAAAAUCAAUUAAAAAUGGCUCGAUUUUGUAUUGCUGAGACCUUAAAAGCUCACUGUACAUUUUUCGUGUCUUUUUUAAUGCACUUUUCGUUUAACAAGUCAACAUCAGUUUCUUUUGUUGUAAAAGGGUCAUUGGAAGGUGGCUUUCUUUUCGGAGAAAGUGUUUAUAGCCUUUGGCCUCUGCAAUCGGAGAGACUGAGGUCUGCAGCGUAGACUCUUCGGGGUUAGAUACAUUUGUGCUAAGUUAUAGCUUUUUAUAGACAACUUGUUGACUAUAAUUAGUCUUGUAGCUUACUCGCUUAUGCUAUUUUACCUACGCUUAGGAUGUUGACGAUCAGCUGAGCGCG
rnacentral:rRNA from 1 species